UACGUAGGGUGCAAGCGUUGUCCGGAAUUAUUGGGCGUAAAGAGCUCGUAGGCGGUUUGUCGCGUCUGCCGUGAAAGUCCGGGGCUCAACUCCGGAUCUGCGGUGAGUACGGGCAGACUAGAGUGAUGUAGGGGGAGACUGGAAUUCCUGGUGUAGCGGUGAAAUGCGCAGAUAUCAGGAGGAACACCGAUGGCGAAGGCAGGUCUCUGGGCAUUAACUGACGCUGAGGAGCGAAAGCAUGGGGAGCGAACAGG
rnacentral:rRNA from 1 species